CUGGGCGAGUGGCGAUGUUGGCUCGCUGGGUGAUGGCUGAUCCCCGCAGAACCGGAGCGGCCCGGACACGAGCGAUUCCCCGCAGAAGUCCAGACAUCUUGACCCUCUCGAAUCGAGUGUGUAUAAUGAACAGGAAGAGUACUGUGUUCAGAUGAAGUUAAGGGACCAUUUCAGACAGACUCUUUUAGAGGGAAACUACUGGGAUCCUUCUUGGCCAAAUCCUCUUUUUCAGGAUGAUUCCUACACUAGUUAAUUACCGGAUGACUGUGGGAUACAGCUCUCCUGAAUACAGGUAAGCGCAGUUGAAGGCCGCGGCCAGGCAGCCCUUCCCUAUCACCGCCAGACUGGGUCUCGAUUUCUGUGAUAUUGAAGGACAGACAAACCUCCAGAUCUCACCGGAAUAACAGCUAUUGAAAACUAAUGACCCCACGUGACAAUGAGACUGCAGUUUUAUUAUUACACUGCUCUACUGCUAAGCGGGC